rnacentral:ncRNA from 1 species
UAUAAAUACUAAGCGCCAGAACUUAACAAUAACAUGAUUUUUUAUUAGUAGUAUUGGGGGUUAAGUUGACGAGGACAGAGUUAAUCGAUUUUUCGGCGGAUGCUCUGCGGUGUGUUUACCAUCGUUAAGGUUUUUUCAAAUCAUAGAAGUGAUUCUGUGGACAAAGGAAAACUCAAGUAAGCUU